UCCCCUCACGGAGGAGCCGCCAUGUUGGCAGUGUCCGAUGCUGCCUCGAAAGAGCAGCCGCAGUCCGGCCCUGUGGGCAAGCAGCCCUAUGCGUCCCCCUAAAACCCUGUCAAAGUGUUCCCCUGGAGCUCAGACGGUCCACGUAGUGCUGUGUAUCCCCCAAGAACCUCCAGACGGUACCAAGGUCGGACCAUCUGCGGAUUUUACAAGUUCCAUGGAAUGUUUUCAGACCGCACUCUUAACCUCAGACACUCCUAUCGGAUUUCAUAGGAUUCAGCCACUAUCUAGCCCCAGGGUGCUGUAGGUGCUAAAUAGAUUAUCUACAUCUCUCAGCCACUAUGGAACAACUACACAGCAAAGCUCAGUUUUUAAUCCUGCUGAGACUCCGACUGCUUUUGGCCAUCAGGUAUCCCACGGCUUCAGGAGAGGAAAUGUUAAUCUGGAAUGCUGGCCAAACUCCAGUUUAGCAACAAUUCUUUAAGUUCUGAGAGAUGAAGACAGUGGUGACAAAUAAACCAUGAGAUUCUGGAUGUAUACAAACACAUGUGGCUUUCCCUCCUUCCCAGAUCACUGUCACCCAAAGGCUGUUACCAGUACUAGGCGGGGAGCAGGAGAACAGCAGAAGUAAAAUGGGUGAAGUGAUGCUACAAUGGAGAUCAACAGGAGGUUUUGGCCACCAAACUUGCAUUUCAGCUGAUAUGGUUUAAUCAAGAAAGAAAAUCACCUAGCUAAGCCUCCUCACUAAAAGGCUGGAAGCCAGAAGCCCCAGCAGGAAUUACAGCCAGAAAGAGAGGUGAACUGUGAAAUGAAAGCUGUGAGAGAAAGAAUUGCUUGUGCUUUUGUUUGAAAUUUUCAGAGUUUUUUGAUUUUUGGUUGGAAGAAAUCUCAAGAUUGGCAAACCAAGAGCCAGGACUCAAUGAAAGUCUGGGACAGGACCACAGCAGAUGAGAGCAGUGGCACUCAAGGCAUUUCCUCUCCUCUGUGCCCAGGUGCUUGGAAAGGAGAAGCAACUGCAGGUCAUGGACAAGACCUGGAAAAGAGCCACCUGUGACAAGAGAGGGAAAUUGCUGAAGGACUCUGAGGAACAGAGGCACAGAGGCACAGCAGCAAUUGCCAAGGCAAUUUCUGAGGCACAGCAAUCAGCUCCAGGUGGCAGCUUGGGCACAGAUAAUCCGGUGGAGCACAGUGACAGAAUUCGUGGAGAUUACAAAAGCUGGAAACAUUUCUAUGGAACAUCCAGGUCUGGUCAGACAGACAGGGAAGAUCAAAGCCAGCAAGGAGCGUCUCCUGUCCAUCACCUGCAGCUCCUGGGGUACCUGGAGGGGGAAAAUUUCAUCUUUCCCACUCGAUUUUAAUCAGCUCAUCAGCAAUGGGCACUGACAGCACACCAGCUAAGAGGUUUAUGUCUGUUAUUCCCUAAAGAUUAGCCUUUGGAAUCCAAGAGAGGGAAGUGGCUGCUCACUGGAGAUUCCCUGCAAAACUGUUUCCCCAAAAUGCCCUACUGCUCCUCCAUUAUUUAUUUGCACAACCCAGGGACUUCCUGC